rnacentral:rRNA from 1 species
UACGUAGGGUGCAAGCGUUGUCCGGAAUUAUUGGGCGUAAAGAGCUCGUAGGCGGUUUGUUGCGUCGGCUGUGAAAUCCCGAGGCUCAACCUCGGGUCUGCAGUCGAUACGAGCAAACUAGAGUGUUGCAGGGGGAGACUGGAAUUCCUGGUGUAGCGUGAAAUGCGCAGAUAUCAGGAGGAACACCGGUGGCGAAGGCGGGGUCUCUGGGGCAACAACUGACGUGGAGGAGCGAAA